CUGAGAAUAUCGGAUUUACACCAACAGGUUCUAAUAUAACAGUGAUAGAAAAUGAAAGUAGAUCUGUAAACUGUUCAGCUGACUGUAAUCCACCACCGUGUAAUAUUAACUGGUAUAAAGGAGCUGAUACUAGUGGUAGUAUUUUAACAUCAUCUAGUAAUGGUCUUCUACAACUAAACAACAUCCAGAGACAAGAUACAGCUUAUACAUGUCACGCUCAACAAAGAACCAUAACAACAACCCCACUCACUAAAUCACUACAGAUAACAGUUUAUUAUGGACCAGAGAAUAUCAGAUUUACACCAACCAGUUCUAGUAUAACAGUGAUAGAAAAUGAAAGUAGAUCUGUAACCUGUUCAGCUGACUGUAAUUCACCGUGUAAUAUCAGCUGGUUUAAAGGUUCAACUAUGAUAUCAUCUACUGACUUUCUCUUACUGAGCAACAUCCAGAGACAACACGCUGGUAAUUACACCUGUCAGGUUACAAAUACACAAAUACCUGAUUCACUUCAAUCUAAACAACUAAUGGUUAUAGUACAUUAUACUGAGGUAAAUGGAUGUAAUAACAUGCUAGGUGCUGGUAUAGCUAUUGGUCUGGUAAUCAGUCUUCUUAUAGUUGGUAUUGCGGCAGCGUUAGCUUGGGUGAUUCUGAAGAGAAAUGGGAAGAGAUUUUGUAUAAAAUCCGUAAGAGCAGUAGAUAAUGGUACAACCAGUCGAGGGUUGGACAACAACACGAUGUCUGAUACUCGACGUGUUACAGCCAAUCAAGGGCUAGUCAAUAACAAUUUUUCUGAUACGCGUCCAGUCGUCACAAAUACCAGAGAUGCCGUUAACCUCGACCAUAUCAACACAUCCAGAACAUCAUCAACAUAUGAUCAUCCAGAUUCUGAAGAUUAUUUAACUCCAGUGAACACAUACGAGGAGCUGGAUAAACACACUAUGGGUCAACAACCCAAUACCUAUCAAGAACUCAGUGCUUAUCAAAAUUUAACAGGAGGUGGGAAAUGAAGCGCAAAGACUCCCACUAGUGUAGUUUUAAAGAUACAUUAGUUAAGAGUUUUAUAAAAAGUUGGCCAUUCCUGCUAUAAUAAUUCAAAAAUAGAUGAUAAAAAAAGAAAAUUUUGAAAAUUUCAUUCAAAUUACUAACAUCAAUUAGGCAUCAAUUGUGUCUGCACCGUCUAUGAGAAUUGGCGAUCCUUUGAUUAACAGACGAUAACUCCACCCACAUAUUCUCGAUUAUCAAGUAACAUGCUUAAUGGCCAUGGUAGCCUCGCUUGGCAGGCCUUUCAUCACCAGAUUGCGGUAGUGACAUCAACGACUAACGGUAAACUUUAGCUUGGUCCGCCAUUUAUUGAUUUAAUUUUAAAUGGACGACUUUAAAUCCAAACUGUAUCCAAACCAUCCGUGGGUCUACAGAGUUGAUUUUGAGCUUGUCGUGUAAAUAAAGGUCAAAUUAAUAAUUUCUAUGACAUCUGAAGCCUAAAUAAGGACUUGCAAUAGGAAGAUUUAGCUCUUGCAUAAUGUAUGUUUAACUAACAUAACUAUGUAUAUACUGCAAAAACAUAAUAAACUAAAAUUCGCUUGGGGAAAUAAUAGAAACUAAAAUCAUGACGGGUGUUUCAUAGUGUCCUGAUUUGGCCAGAACGGAACGUUAUGCUCCAGAAAAAAAACCAACACUAACACGUUGUUUUAUUAUAGAUAAAAUUGGCAAUAAAUGUAAUGCAAACUGUUAUACUAGAAUUUUUGUAAUGGAAUACGGUUGAUAUCAUAUGAUUUUACAUAUUUAUUAAUUCUGUUAGUCUGUCAACAAUUGGAGAGAGAGAGAGAGAGAAAUGGGGUUUAACGUCCACUCGACACAAACUAGGUCAUUUCGGGACUAACAUAUGGUUUAAUUUUAUUUACAUAAUUCGCUUGCGCGUAGGGGUCUUUAGCAGUGGGAGGAAACCGGAGGACCCGGAGAAAACCCACGAGGUUGGACAGGCGACCCUACUCCUUGCCACGUACAACCGGGGAUUCCAAACCACGCCAGUCGACUCAAUGACAGACUUUAUGAUACAGCGCGCGCACGUUAACCAUUCAGCCAUCCAACCCCCCCCCCCCCACCCCCCGUCAACAAUUGGCUUUUCCAAUUUGGUCUUAAGCAUUGUGGUCAUUUGAGGACGAACCCUAUCAAUAUUCAGUUAUGUCCCCUUUUCCUAUAUGGGCUAUAUAUUUUAACAAAGUGUUUUCAAAUUGUUUGGGAAGCAUCGAACAAUCGGAAGUGACGUACGCAAAAGGAAAACACGAGUUAUCCCUCAAUAUAACUGACUGAAGUGACGAGUGAUAACAGAUACAUGGGCGAAUUUCUGCUCACUAAUAAUUCUUUCGAAGACCAAAAUUUGUUAUUUGAGACUGUAAGAGUAUAUCUGACAAUCCAUAAAAGUAAUUGGAUGUCAUUAGAUAAGAGAACACGAGAAAAAUAGAAACCAUUAACAGUGAACAUUAAAACCUAUAAAAUGACAUAUUACACGGGACAUUUCGUCAACACUGUUUGUCAAGCUCAAUCUCAGCGCCACUAAUUAUGGAUUAACCUUUUCAGAAACAUUCAACUCCAAGGGCUUUUAUUUAUGUUUUUUGUAUAAAAUAGUUUUUCGCGUGUUAGUUUCAAUACUUCAUCUAUGAAUACU